rnacentral:rRNA from 1 species
UACGGAGGGGGCUAGCGUUGUUCGGAAUUACUGGGCGUAAAGGGCGCGUAGGCGGGCGGUCAAGUCGAGGGUGAAAGCCCCCAGCUCAACUGGGGAAGUGCCUCCGAUACUGGCCGUCUCGAGGGGGAUAGGGGCGUGCGGAACUUCCGGUGGAGCGGUGAAAUGCGUAGAUAUCGGAAGGAACAUCGGUGGCGAAAGCGGCGCGCUGGAUCCCUUCUGACGCUGAGGCGCGAAAGCUAGGGGAGCAAACGGG